rnacentral:rRNA from 1 species
UACAGAGGGUGCGAGCGUUAAUCGGAAUUACUGGGCGUAAAGCGCGCGUAGGCGGCUUUCAAGUCGAUUGUGAAAUCCCCGGGCUUAACCUGGGAACUGCAGUCGAGACUGUCUAGCUAGAGUAUGGGAGAGGGAAGUGGGAAUUUCAGGUGUAGCGGUGAAAUGCGUAGAUAUCUGAAGGAACAUCAGUGGCGAAAGCGAC